ACCACAGAAUACACUCAUCAACCUGCACCAUAGAAUAGAAACCAUGCAGUUCUGCGUCUUAGACUGUCAUCAGCUUUCAUAAUAAGUUAAAUAACUUACAAUCAUGAUAGAUAUUGCUUGUUCAUAAUGAAGGCUAAUUGCCUAUUAAUAGCCAUAAAUCACUCUUCAUUGAUGAAAGGAAAAAAUUGGAUAAAGAAAGUUGAGAAAAUUACAAAAGCAAUGUAAACAAACAAAAACCUUAUAGACAAAUCAUUCUCAACUCUAAUUUAAGAUCUGAAAAAGAACAAGUGAAAGACAGGUCAAUAAUUCUUGAUAAGAAUUUUUCAGCAUUUCCUUCCCUUUAUAGAUCUUUCAGAUUCAAAUAAAGGCUGAAGCAUUUGAACCAUAAUGAUACAUAAAAGUUGAUAUGACUACAGACUAAGAAUAACCUUAUUGAAGUUGAGGAGCAUUAACUUAUGCUAAGGCCUUGAAUGUCCCAAUUUAUCCAUUCUUAUUGAAGCAUAUGACAGUAAUGCAUUAAACUCGGCAGGACUGACUAACCUCCUUCCUAAAAAUCUUGGA
rnacentral:misc_RNA from 1 species